UCAAACAUCAAAUGGUACUCUUCAUCAAGAUCAAAUAAUUUCGAUAUCUUCCAUUCUCAAAGGAUCAUCUUUCUGCCAUGUCCUUCAUUUUUGCUUCUUCUGUAGUGUAUGGUUUUAGGCUUUUUUUUUUCAAUUGAUCAACAACUCAUAUAAUGCAAGGAGAAAAUUUUUCUUCUAGUAGCCAUAGCCUCUUGUUACAGCAGCAUCCCCAAGUUUGUCAUCGUCUUCUGACAAGGUUAUACAGUUUCAGCUGAGUACAUUACCACCAAUCUAUGGAGGACCAUUCUUCAGCCUCCCAUGUUGGUGAGUGUUGCCAUCGCACUAAAUUCCAGGAAAAUAGGUGCCUGAAAAUGGUUGGAUGAUAAAGUGAUGGCAACCAUUACUCUGAAGGGAAAAGCAUGCAUCUUCCUCUUAGUGCCUGAAAUGCUGACACGAAGAGACGAACUGGAGCAGCGACAUUGGACCCCAAGGUGGUAACAGGAACUGAAAGUCUUUCAUAGCAAAUAGAAGAAGUCUGGGUUUCUGACACCAUUGAGCUGCCCUGCAUAGUCUAAUGAUUAUGAAAGAGUUGUUUGAGAGAGAGCAGUGAACUUCUAUCUUUCUAAGGCGCGUUAUUUUGAGACCCUGCAUCAGCAGCUGCAAUUAUAUCAUAGCUAAUAAUGAUAAUAAUUCCUAGUUUAUUGUAAUGUUAUCAAAAAAUAUAGAAUAUAUAUCCUAUUUGUAUUUCUAAGAAUACAUUGAUAUAUUUUAGUUGUCUAAUAAAUGCUCAAAUUCUAUAAGCAUUUCCUGUAUUAUUAGUUUUUAAUUAUAUAAUUAUAUAUAUGUUCUGAAUAUAUUUAUAUAUCAUUCAAUCUAACUAAUUAGUCAUAUUGCCAUUCUUCACAUUAUGUGCAAUAAAACACUACUUCUAUGGAAUAUUAAUAGGUUCAUCUCAAAACAAAAAAUUCAAUGGUCCCUCAAUCCUCUGCUUCCUGUUUUUAUUGUUGUUAAUAACACAGACUCUGAACCAGAUUGUUUGAAUCCUAGAUCUGGCAAUUUACUGGUUGUGUGAAUCAAAGCAAGUCAUAUAAUUUGCUUUUUGACUGUUUCUGUAUCAGUAAAGUAGAGUAAAUAUCAGUAUCCAGCUCAUGGGAUUAGGAGAAUUUUAUAAUGAAUACACACUAAACAAUUACAAUAGUGGUUCACAGAAAGUAAUCAUUUUUAAACAGUGCAUAGUCUUUUAUUGCAUAUGAGACUCUGAGAAAUAAUCAAGGAUUAGAAUUUAUAUUAUAUAGUGUUUUCUAGCUAUUUCCCAAAUUUAUUUGAGUGGGUAUAUCGUGGUCAUAGUCGCUAUAUAUCAUAUAUAUAUAUAUAUAUAUAUAUACGAUUUUGAAAAUGUUGCACUAGGUUACUCAGAUCCUCUGCAUACUGAGAAUUCUUCAUUUUAACAGGAUAUGAAAAUGCCACCUAGGAGGUAUUUAAGUUCCUUGAAAUGUAUAAGUGUUUUGUGUGUAUAUUUAUGGGUACUUCUAUAUGGGGGGGGAAUCCAUGAAAUUCAUCAGAUUUUCAUAUUUUUCCUUAUGUAUUUUUACGUUUAACUGAAAUAUCAGAUACUAAUAGUGUGCAGUAAAAGUCUCCAGAUAUUUCAUUGUUCUGUUCCUGGUGUAUUUGCUUAAGUUUUUCCUGUACAUCAUCAAGUUUUAUAGUGUCAAUAAAUUUUCAUUCCUGUAACAAUUUUAAUUUACUUACAAGCUUUUAAAAAAUUUUAAAGGAAAAAAAACGCUAUUUCAUCUGAAAAUUGUCUCCCACAUAACUUGUGCUGUUUUACAGAAACCAAUGCUCUGGUGUGCUUUUGUAAAUGUUAAUUGAUUUUUAAUAUUUCCUUCUGGUUCUGCAGCACAUUCUUUUCAGAAGCAAAGCCAUUCUACUAAGCUCACAAACUGCUGUUGCCUUUCCAGUGUGUUGCUAUUUCACAUUGCUUUUUUGUGUUAUUUUAGGUUUGGCCUUCAUUUUAUUCAUUUUCCUCAUUUUUAAAGAAGACAAUAUUUAAUCACACUUCACGUGUAUCAGCUUAGAUGAAAAGCAAAUUUCAGCACUUUUUGAACAGUGAUUUUGGAUAAAGUUUUCUAUGUAAAUUUGAUAGGGAAGAUACUGUAAAUAUUUUUCAUAUAUUUCACAAUUUCUAUCAGAAUUUGUCAGUAAUAAUUCCACUUUUUAUUUUGAGAGUAUCAUUGUAUAUCUAUUACCGAUACUCUGAUACUGUAAAAUAAAGCAAAUAUAUUUGUACAAAAUAUGAUAGAUCAGAAUGCAUAAUUGCCAGCAUUUUUCUGGAUUCCAUGACUGUCUUUUCAGCAUUUCUUAGGGAUUUAACACCUCCAAGAACCACUAAACUAUCUCUAGGAGCUCCUCUCAUUUGCUCCUAGUCACUUUCUUAGAUCUGAUAUUUCUACCUGAAUAUAGAAAAAAUGUACAUAGAAGAAAAUGAAACCAUAUUUAGCCCAAUUCAACUUAGGAGGAGUAGAAAAUGCCAAGUGAUCUUUUUCUUAAUAAAAUAACUAUUAGGUGUAGAUUUCAAUGCAUAAAUUUUUUACAAGAUACCACCUUAUUUUUCACAUCAAUAGUUCCAAUUCCCCAUAGUAUAUAAACAAUUACCCUAUUCUCCAAAAUGAUUCUAUUUUAUUCCUGUAUUUAAAACCUUAUCUUGUUUCUUGAAGUAAUCCACACCUCUGAAGUUGUGAAAUAUUCCCAAAACCUUUAUGGUAUAUUGUGAAGAGUGAGAUAUUUAAAAGCAGUCUCUGAUUUCAAAACAUAUUUGAGUAUUCCAUUUGCUCAAGUCUUCGUUUCUUUACUUCUAAUAUAAUAUAAUCAUAUCUUUCUUAGCAAUACCAACUAAAGUUCAUGAUAACUAAAUGGAACCACAUAAUAUUCUGAUGUUAUUAACAAAAAAACCAAAUAUCAAAAUUUGCAGAGUAGUAUAUCAAAACAGUGGCUAAAGUUCAGUUAAAGCACUGGAUAAUUUUUAUAACAAAUGAAAUGUCUCAAACAUGUUUCACAAUGGAAAUAUAGGGAGAAAAUAGAGGUAUAAUUUAAACUCAAGGUGAGUAGAAGAAAGGAAAUAUAGAAGAGUAGAAAUUAAUGACAUGGGAAUCAGAAAAUCAAUAAAAGAAAACCACCAAAACCCAAAGCUGAUCUUUUCAUAGAAUCAAUAAAAUUGAUAGGCCUCUUGUUAAAUUGAUUCAGAAAAAAAUGAAUUACCAAUGUCAGAAAUGAAUGGAAAGUUAUCAUAGAUCCUAUAGACAUUAAAAUAAUAAUAUGAGAACAUUAUGGAUGAGACUGGCCAACAGUUUUGAUAAAUUCAAUGAAAUGGGCAAUUGCUCUCAAAGACAAAAACUCCCAAUCCUCAUUCUAAAGAAAAUGAUAACCCAAAUAACUCUGUAUUUGUUAAAUAAUUGAAUUCAUCAUCUCACUUAUGAAUUGUACCAAAUAUUCAAGAAGUAAAUAAUUCUAAUCUUACAUAAACUCCUCCAGAAAGUAGAGAGAGGCUAAGAUGACAUUUCAGCCCAAUUUGGCUGGCAUUACUCUGAUAAUCAUAACAUAGUAACAUGCCAGGAAAGAAAAUUUGAGACAAUAUUAAUCAUAAAUAUAGAAGUAAAAAUCCGUAACAAUCAUAGUUGCUAAUAGCUUCACUUAUUUUAUCUGUUCUAAUAUGCAUUUGUUUACACAGUAUUUUUCCUCUUGCUUUCCAUUCAUUCUUUCAUUUCCUACUUCACUCAUCCAUCAUCUAGAUUCACAUAACUCUUUCCAAUUUGUCUCCACACUUUUCCUUCAUUCUUUUCACUGGCCUCCAUCAAAGCCCCCUUCCUAAAACCCACCAUCUCAUCAUGUUACUCCAGGGUUUGAGAUUUUUGCUAUUUUUUCAGGCUCGUUUAAUAUCACUAGGACUCUACCCCAACAUUUAAAACUCUUCAAUACUCUAGUCAGCCUGAAGUUUUAGACUUUCAUGGCACUAUAUACAUUGUGUACUCAGGGCAAUUCCAUUGUCUUGUUCUAUUUUUCCAAUAUUAGCCUUUUGACCAUAUUAAUUCUUUUACAUGAAGUGUUGCCCUUUUAAUAUACUGCUUUCCCCUGAUUUUAAUCUCUUUACCUUGAUGCUUCCACACUACUUUGUUUUUUCAUGUAUCAUACUUCAACGUAUGUCAUGCUGAAAUAAGGACAUUUAUUGUUAACUACACAUAUAUAGGAACAAAGAAGAAGACACCACGUCUUAAUGUCUUCUAUGAUAGUUUCCUCUCUUUCUAAUAAGUCUGUACAACUUCAGAAAUUAUGUUUAUAGUCCUCUGUCUUUUCAUUUUCUAACAUGGUAUAUUAUAUAUACAUAAAUGUUGUCAAUCUUUGUUGAUGAUAGGAUUAGGUAAGUUUACUGGUAUAGUUGAAUAAAGCCUGGUCUGCUUGCCCUUUAUUUCACAGGUAACCUUCAUUUAAAAAUAUUUGAACUUAUUUCUCUGACUGUUUAGUAGCAUCUUCUAAAUUGAAACUAAAUCAUCACCUUAAAAUGUAUGGGAUUUUUUACAUUUCUGAUUCUGUAUUUUAACUGCCCAAGGAAUAAUAAAAGUAUUUUUACACUU